rnacentral:miRNA from 1 species
AGAACCGGGGAUGUAGCUCAGUGAAAGAGCACUUGCCUUGCAUGUGUGAGGCCUUGGGUUCAAUUCCCGGGACCA